rnacentral:snRNA from 1 species
AGGGAUAAGAAAGACAUGU